GGCCUCAAUGGGGUGGGUGGUAGCACGCGUUCCCGGUGUGGAUGAAACGCGGGUUCGACUCCCGGCUGGGGCCG